GCCGAAGUGGUGAAAUUGGUAGACACGCUAGAUUCAGGUUCUAGUGGGCUUUACGGCCCGUGGGAGUUCGAGUCUCCCCUUCGGCACCA
rnacentral:tRNA from 1 species